rnacentral:rRNA from 1 species
UACGUAGGGGGCUAGCGUUGUCCGGAUUUAUUGGGCGUAAAGAGCGUGUAGGCGGCCAAGUAGGUCCGGUGUGAAAACUCGAGGCUUAACCUCGAGAUGUCAUCGGAAACCAUUUGGCUAGAGUCCGGAAGAGGCGAGUGGAAUUCCCGGUGUAGCGGUGAAAUGCGCAGAUAUCAGGGGGAACACCAACGGCGAAGGCAGCUCGCUGGGACGGUACUGACACUGAGGCGCGAAAGCGUGGGGAGCGAACAGG